GUAAGUUUGAUGAUUGUUUGAUCAUGAGACUAUAGAUUGCGAGUUGUGAGGUAGUUUGUCCCACUAUUUUACUUGAAUUAUCGCCUUGGUUUCAGUUACUUGUCCAUGCUAAGAAAAGCUGCAAGGUAAAAUAUUGCAGUUGACCUUACUAAUCUCUAUGACCAUUUCUUUGUGUUCACCAGUGAAUGUAAAGUAAAGGUAACUGCAACUUGGUUGCCAUACUUUUAUCGAGAUUAUUGGCCUGGUGUUGCAGAGGUGUAUCAACUACAACAAGAAGAAAGGCAUUCUGGCCAUGCAUCAAAGGAUCUACGGUUAACGAACAAACUCAGUGGAACAAUAUUUCGCUUGAAGUUACGCUUCAUCAUGGUGCACAUACAGCAUUGCUGCGGUUGCAUUCUGAUGGUUGCUGGAAAUCCUUGGGUUUGCAAACAAUGCGAAAAUUUUCAGCUGUCUGACAAGGAAUUAAAACAGCUGCUGAACUGAGGAGGGAACAAAACCUAACAGUGCCUGUCAAACUUCACACAGUGAGAACGUGUUAUAGCUCUUUUUCAUUCCUAGUCCAACCUUAAGAAAGAAAAAGCUAGAUUCUUAAAUGAAGAGAGAUUCUAAACAUGAGCAGGGACUAUUUUCAUGUGUCACUUGUGGGAUUUUGUGUUUUCUCUUGUGUUGCUAUUGAAGCAGCUGCUCAUUAUCUAUUGUUAGCCAGUUGCAGCACAUUUAAUUAUUGGGGUGUUGGUGAUGAUGGCCACAAUCACAUCAGAGAUGCAAAGUCUCCCAAGAGAUGCAAAGUCUCCCAACACAAACCUUGGUUAAGGUAUUUUCUCCUCCUUGUACUCAGAAAAUGGUCUAUUGAAAAUUUAUAAUUUUAUAGGCAUUCCCUUUCUCGUAACAUAUUGGCUACUUUUCCUAAACUAAUUCAAAGUUCAUAUUUCUAUGAAAAUUUGCUUGGGCAUAUGCAGUAGUGCUAAAACAAUAGUGUAAGUUUGUGGUGUGAGUAAUUAAAUGACUCUUGUUUUGCAUACAAUAUGGAAAUAGUUAGAAAUGGA